rnacentral:rRNA from 1 species
UACGGAGGGUGCAGACGUUGCUCGGAAUCAUUGGGCGUAAAGCGCACGUAGGCGGUCCAGCAAGUCGGGUGUGAAAGCCCUCGGCUUAACCGAGGAAGUGCAUUCGAAACUACUGGACUUGAAUACUGGAGAGGAUCGCGGAAUUCCCGGUGUAGAGGUGAAAUUCGUAGAUAUCGGGAGGAACACCAGUGGCGAAGGCGGCGAUCUGGACAGAUAUUGACGCUGAGGUGCGAAAGCGUGGGGAGCAAACAGG